AUACGUAGGGGGCGAGCGUUGUCCGGAAUGAUUGGGCGUAAAGGGUGCGUAGGCGGCCCGGUAAGUCUGGAGUGAAAGUCCUGUUUUUAAGAUGGGAAUUGCUUUGGAUACUGUCGGGCUUGAGUGCAGGAGAGGUAAGUGGAAUUCCCAGUGUAGCGGUGAAAUGCGUAGAGAUUGGGAGGAACACCAGUGGCGAAGGCGACUUACUGGACUGUAACUGACGCUGAGGCGCGAAAGUGUGGGGAGCAAACAGGAUUAGAUACCCUGGUAGUCCACACUGUAAACGAUGAAUGCUAGGUGUAGGGGGUAUCGACCCCUUCUGUGCCGCAGUCAACACAAUAAGCAUUCCGCCUGGGGAGUACGGCCGCAAGGUUGAAACUCAAAUGAAUUGACGGGG
rnacentral:rRNA from 1 species